AGUGAACGCUGGCGGUAGGCCUAACACAUGCAAGUCGAACGGCAGCACAGUAAGCGCUUGCUCUUACGGGUGGCGAGUGGCGGACGGGUGAGGUAUACAUCGGAAUCUACUUUUUCGCGGGGGCUAACGUAGGGUAACUUCCGCUAAUACCGCAUACGACCUACGGGUGAAAGCAGGGGAUCUUCGUACCUUGCGCGAUUGAAUGAGCCGGUGUCGGUUGAGCUAGUUGGCGGGGUAAAGGCACACCAAUGCGACGAGCCGUAGCUGGUCUGAGAGGGUGAACAGCUAGCUGGGAUGUGAGGCAGGGUCCAGACUCUGACGGGGGGCAACAGUGGGGAAUAUUAGACGAUGGGCGCAAGCCUGAUCCAGCCAUACCGCGUGGAGGAAGAAGGCCUUCGGGUGGGAGAGCCCUUUAGGUGGGAAAGAAAAGCAGCAGGUUAAUACCCCGCGGUUCUGACGGUACCCAAAGAAUAAGCACCGGCUAACUUCGUG
rnacentral:rRNA from 1 species